UUGUGAGGUUAAGCGACUAAGCGUACACGGUGGAUGCCCUGGCAGUCAGAGGCGAUGAAGGACGUGCUAAUCUGCGAUAAGCGUCGGUGAGGUGAUAUGAACCGUUAUAACCGGCGAUUUCCGAAUGGGGAAACCCAGUGUGUUUCGACACACUAUCAUUAACUGAAUCCAUAGGUUAAUGAGGCGAACCGGGGGAACUGAAACAUCUAAGUACCCCGAGGAAAAGAAAUCAACCGAGAUUCCCCCAGUAGCGGCGAGCGAACGGGGAGGAGCCCAGAGCCUGAAUCAGUGUGUGUGUUAGUGGAAGCGUCUGGAAAGGCGCGCGAUACAGGGUGACAGCCCCGUACACAAAAAUGCACAUAUUGUGAGCUCGAUGAGUAGGGCGGGACACGUGGUAUCCUGUCUGAAUAUGGGGGGACCAUCCUCCAAGGCUAAAUACUCCUGACUGACCGAUAGUGAACCAGUACCGUGAGGGAAAGGCGAAAAGAACCCCGGCGAGGGGAGUGAAAAAGAACCUGAAACCGUGUACGUACAAGCAGUGGGAGCCUCUUAAUGGGGUGACUGCGUACCUUUUGUAUAAUGGGUCAGCGACUUAUAUUCUGUAGCAAGGUUAACCGAAUAGGGGAGCCGAAGGGAAACCGAGUCUUAACUGGGCGUUAAGUUGCAGGGUAUAGACCCGAAACCCGGUGAUCUAGCCAUGGGCAGGUUGAAGGUUGGGUAACACUAACUGGAGGACCGAACCGACUAAUGUUGAAAAAUUAGCGGAUGACUUGUGGCUGGGGGUGAAAGGCCAAUCAAACCGGGAGAUAGCUGGUUCUCCCCGAAAGCUAUUUAGGUAGCGCCUCGUGAAUUCAUCUCCGGGGGUAGAGCACUGUUUCGGCAAGGGGGUCAUCCCGACUUACCAACCCGAUGCAAACUGCGAAUACCGGAGAAUGUUAUCACGGGAGACACACGGCGGGUGCUAACGUCCGUCGUGAAGAGGGAAACAACCCAGACCGCCAGCUAAGGUCCCAAAGUCAUGGUUAAGUGGGAAACGAUGUGGGAAGGCCCAGACAGCCAGGAUGUUGGCUUAGAAGCAGCCAUCAUUUAAAGAAAGCGUAAUAGCUCACUGGUCGAGUCGGCCUGCGCGGAAGAUGUAACGGGGCUAAACCAUGCACCGAAGCUGCGGCAGCGACGCUUAUGCGUUGUUGGGUAGGGGAGCGUUCUGUAAGCCUGUGAAGGUGUGCUGUGAGGC
rnacentral:rRNA from 1 species